rfam:Blastomyces gilchristii SLH14081 genomic scaffold supercont1.12, whole genome shotgun sequence.
CCACCUGAUGAACUCAAUUAUUUCGCUGUGUUCUUCCCGAGUCUUGACUUUGAGGACAACUAUCAUCUUGGAGACCUGAUAC